AGCAGCAGCCACGGGAAUACGAAGGGGGCUAGCGUUGUUCGGAUUUACUGGGCGUAAAGGGUGCGUAGGCGGAUUGUUAAGUCAGGGGUGAAAUCCCGAGGCUCAACCUCGGAACUGCCUUUGAUACUGGCGAUCUUGAGUCCGGGAGAGGUGAGUGGAAUUUCCGGUGUAGCGGUGAAAUGCGUAGAUAUCGGAAGGAACACCUGUGGCGAAAGCGGCUCACUGGACCAUUUCUGACGCUGAUGCACGAAAGCUAGGGGAGCAAACAGGAUUAGAGACCCCCGUAGUCCCUGUCUCUUAUAA
rnacentral:rRNA from 1 species